rnacentral:rRNA from 1 species
UACGGGGGGGGGCAAGCGUUUGUUCGGAAUUACUGGGCGUAAAGGGCUCGUAGGCGGCCAACUAAGUCAGACGUGAAAUCCCUCGGCUUAACCGGGGAACUGCGUCUGAUACUGGAUGGCUUGAGGUUGGGAGAGGGAUGCGGAAUUCCAGGUGUAGCGGUGAAAUGCGUAGAUAUCUGGAGGAACACCGGUGGCGAAGGCGGCAUCCUGGACCAAUUCUGACGCUGAGACGCGAAAGCGUGGGGAGCAAACAGG